rnacentral:misc_RNA from 1 species
UAAUAUUAAAUUCAGAAGCUUGUGACAAGUUUCAUCUCGUUUGGAAUCGUUGGAUGUAACGACGGCAACUUCUGGAAUGCUACGAUAUUCUCCAACGCGCGCGUCACGAUACCCGAAACGAAGAUGAACUACGUGAAAUACGCAUCAAACGACGAGUGGAAACUUGAAGAUGAUACACCUGGCAUAUAUACCCUGCCCUCGUGGAAGUGUCUCUUUGUGACCUCCUAUGCGUCUUGUUCACUUCACAUCCUUGUUGUCACCAUGAAGCGAUAACUAUCGCAGAAUGUAAUUUAUGUUUGUUAGUUGAACUUUACUUGAAUGUUUAUUAGUUUUAACAUACGUUCCGUAGAGUAUAACGGGAGAUGGAGAGAAGUUUGAGAAAGUAAAAUAAACAAAUGUACAUAUAUUUGCUCAUACUUCAAUAUCUCAUUUUACUACCAAAGUACUUCACAGUAUUACCAAAUGACCUGAAACUUAAUUUACUUGGACUUAAUUAUGAGUGGACUUUAUUGGACUUUAUUAUGAGAUAUGUAUAAUUUUAUGUGCUAGACUAGGUUAGCUGCGUAGUAGUGAUACUUGUAUGUGAAUAUCAGUGUGUGGAAGUAUGUGUGUGCGCAGCAUCUCGAAAACAAAGGAAUGUAAACUGUUCAGUCGGUUAACAGUCGGGUAUGGAAGAAAGUGAGACGCGUGCGAGUGUGUAUCGAUGAAUAUCUUUGAAAUCGCUUAUCAAAUAAAUAUAUAACUAUUUUAAUACAAAUUCUAAGAGUAAAUUUAGUGUUCCUAUACCAUUAUUUCGGC